UCCGGUUUGACACCGGCAGUCUCGCAUGAGUCCCCAACUAAAUGCUGGCAACAUACGGUGAGGGUUGCGCUCGUUGCGGGACUUAACCCAACAUCUCACGACACGAGCUGACGACAGUCAUGCAACACCUGUCUCCGGGCUCGCCUUGCGGCGCACCCCACCCUUUCAGGCAGGUUCCCGGGAUGUCAAGCCUGGGUAAGGUUCUACGGUUAGUGACGUAUUAAUCCACAUGCUCCACCGCUUGUGCGGGCCCCCGUCAAUUCCUUUGAGUUUCAACCUUGCGGCCGUACUCCCCAGGCGGGUCACUUAUUGCGUUAGCUGCGGCACGUGUGGGGUCGAUACCACACACACCUAGUGACCAUCGUUUACGGCGUGGACUAC
rnacentral:misc_RNA from 1 species